UGAAACAUUGGUACCUGUUUGAUAACCAAAGUUAAGCAAUGUCAAGCCUGGUUAGUACCUAGAUGGGUGACUGCUUGGGAAUACCAAGUGCUGUAA